CUGGACCUGAGUUACAAUAAUCUGCUGGAUUCAGGAGUGAAGCUGCUCUCUGCUGGACUGGAGAAUCUACACUGUAAACUGGAGAUACUGAAGCUGUGUGAGUGUAAUCUCACAGAGAAAAGCUGUGCAGCUCUGUCCUCAGCUCUCAGUUCAAACUCUUCCAAUCUGAAAGAACUGAACCUGAGCAAGAAUGAACUGCAGGAUUCAGGAGUGAAGCUGCUCUCUCCUGGACUGGAGAAUCCACACUGUAAACUGGAGAAACUGGAGUAAGAUCAUCACUUUAUCAAUGCUGUGUGAGUGUAAUCUCACAGAGAAAAGCUGUGCAGCUCUGUCCUCAGCUCUCAGCUCAAUCUCCUCUGGUCUAAGGGAACUGAACCUGAAUUAUAAUGAACUGCAGGAUGCAGGAGUGAAGCUGCUCUGUGCCUGACUGAAGAAUCCACACUGUAAACUGGAGAUACUGAAACUGUCCAACUGCAGUGUUACAGAGGAAGGCUGUGCUGCUCUGGUUUUAGCACUGAAAUCAAAUCCCUCACUCAUUAAAAAGCUGAACCUGAACUGCAAUAAUCCAGGAGAGUCAGAAUUGAAGCUGCUCUCUGAUCUGCAGGUGGAUCCACUCUGUAAACUGGAGAAACUACACAUCUGAAUACACACCUGACCUGCUAUGAGUCUCUCACAAAUGAGGGGUUUACAACAAGAGAUGCUGUAUGUGAUUCUCCAUGUAUCAGUAUGUGUGUGUGGGUUUUUACUGGUCAAACCUAUGAACACAGCUGCAGCACAGAGCUGUGUGUUCUCCCUCUGACAUCACAUCCUGUUUACCAGUGACUGCUCCUCCAGUGUCCUGUCCUUCACACUCCUCCACCAGUGAGCCCUCACUGGUGAUGAGAGCAUGUACAGGAGGAGGAGAAGAGCCUGGUGUUCUAAUAACAACAUAUGGACAGCACUCAUGUAACUGGUGGACAUUGAUACAAUAACUACUGAUUGACAAAGAAACUGUGUGAUGUUUUUGUCAUGAGGUUUUUAUUCUUAUGAAAUAAAUAAUAUAGCCUUUU